rnacentral:rRNA from 1 species
CCUACGGGGGGCAGCAGUGGGGAAUAUUGGACAAUGGGGGGAACCCUGAUCCAGCCAUGCCGCGUGGGUGAAGAAGGCCCUCGGGUUGUAAAGCACUUUCAGUGAGGAAGAACGCCUGGUGGUUAAUACCCAUCAGGAAAGACAUCACUCACAGAAGAAGCACCGGCUAACUCCGUGCCAGCAGCCGCGGUAAUACGGAGGGUGCGAGCGUUAAUCGGAAUUACUGGGCGUAAAGCGCGCGUAGGUGGCUUGAUAAGCCGGUUGUGAAAGCCCCGGGCUCAACCUGGGAACGGCAUCCGGAACUGUCGAGCUAGAGUGCAGGAGAGGAAGGUAGAAUUCCCGGUGUAGCGGUGAAAUGCGUAGAGAUCGGGAGGAAUACCAGUGGCGAAGGCGGCCUUCUGGACUGACACUGACACUGAGGUGCGAAAGCGUGGGUAGCAAACAGGAUUAGAUACCCCUGUAGUC